UGGGGAAUUUUGCACAAUGGGCGCAAGCCUGAUGCAGCGACGCCGCGUGAGGGAUGAAGGCCUUCGGGUUGUAAACCUUUUUCGCUCAUGGUCAAGCCGCAGCUUUGGGUUGUGGUGAGGGUAGUGGGUAAAGAAGCGCCGGCUAACUACGUGCCAGCAGCCGCGGUAAUACGUAGGGCGCGAGCGUUGUCCGGAAUUAUUGGGCGUAAAGGGCUUGUAGGCGGUUGGCCGCGUCUGCCGUGAAAUCCUCUGGCUUAACGGGGGGCGUGCGGUGGGGACGGGUUGACUUGAGUGCGGUAGGGGAGACUGGAAUUCCUGGUGUAGCGGUGGAAUGCGCAGAUAUCAGGAGGAACACCGGUGGCGAAGGCGGGUCUCUGGGCCGUUACUGACGCUGAGGAGCGAAAGCGUGGGGAGCGAACAGG
rnacentral:rRNA from 1 species